rnacentral:rRNA from 1 species
GAUCCUGGCUCAGGAUGAACGCUAGCUACAGGCUUAACACAUGCAAGUCGAGGGGCAUCAGGAAGAAAGCUUGCUUUCUUUGCUGGCGACCGGCGCACGGGUGAGUAACACGUAUCCAACCUAGCCCUUUACCUUCGGGGAGUAGCCUUUCGUAAGAAAGAUUAAUACCGAUGGCAUAAUGAUUCCGCAUGGUUUCAUUAUUAAAGGAUUCCGGUAAAGGAUGGGAUGCGUUCCAUUAGGUUGUUGGUGAGG